ensembl:lincRNA
GGUCUCACUGUAUUGCUCAGGCUGAUCUCAAACUCCCAGGCUCAAGCGAUCCUCCUGCCUCAGCCUCCCAAAGUGCUCGGAUUACAGUUGUGAGCCACGUACACCUGGCCUGUAAUGUUGAUAAUUGUUGGACAGAACUACAGAAUUAAUCAAGGCUAUAACGAUAUCCAUCAAAUAUUGAGAAGAAAGAAUAUCAAGAGCAAAGUUUUCUAUUUGAGGCUGUUAAGUUGCUACUCGGAAUGUGAAGAUGCAGACCACAAAUCAGUGGUUUAUUCAUUCUUCAUGCAAUGCACUAAAGGAGAGAAGUAAGCCGUGGUGAUCCGUAACUUUGGUGAAGGCUAAGAACGUUGAAAC